UGCUUGCUUUAUCUGAGGUGUUCUUUAUUGUUAAUUCUUAAACUGAUGCCUAAAAUGGGGCAAUUCAAUUGUAAUGAGAAGCUUGCCAAGUUCUUCAAGCAUUCGUUGUCUGCUAUACUAGUCUUAGCCUUUUUUUAACUUGAAUACGAUCUAUAGCUAACAUGAAGGUCGUAGAUAGGAAGGAUGUGGUUUGUUUAGAACGGAAAGGGAGGAGGAAGUUGGGUGGUGAGACCU
rnacentral:lncRNA from 1 species